rnacentral:tRNA from 1 species
GCAUCCGUAGCUCAGCUGGAUAGAGUACUCGGCUACGAACCUAGCGGUCGGAGGUUCGAAUCCUCCCGGAUGCACCA